CACGUAGUUGGCCGGUGCUUCUUCUGCAGGUACCGUCACUUUCGCUUCGUCCCUGCUGAAAGAGGUUUACAACCCGAAGGCCGUCAUCCCUCACGCGGCGUUGCUGGAUCAGGCUUUCGCCCAUUGUCCAAUAUUCCCCACUGCUGCCUCCCGUAGGAGUCUGGGCCGUGUCUCAGUCCCAGUGUGGCCGGUCACCCUCUCAGGCCGGCUACCCGUCGAAGCCUUGGUGGGCCGUUACCCCACCAACAAGCUGAUAGGUCGCGAGCUCAUCCAUCACCGCCAGAACUUUCCACCACCAUCAGAUGCCUGAGGUGGUCGUAUUCGGUAUUAGCUUCGGUUUCCCGGAGUUAUCCCGAUGUGAUGGGUAGAUUGCUCACGUGUUACUCACCCGUUCGCCGCUCGUGUACCCCGAAGGGCCUUACCGCUCGACUUGCAUGUGUUAAGCACGCCGCCAGCGUUCGUCCUGUACGCACGGAUACAAACUCUA
rnacentral:rRNA from 1 species